GAAGAAGUUCCGUUCGAACAGGGGGGCGAAGUGACGGUACCCAAAGAGCAAGCCCCGGCUAACUACGUGCCAGCAGCCGCGGUAAUACGUAGGGGGCGAGCGUUGUCCGGAAUUAUUGGGUGUAAAGGGCGCGCAGGCGGUCCNUUAAGUCAGAUGUGAAAUUCCGGGGCUUAACCCUGGAGGGUCAUUUGAAACUGGGGGUCUUGAGUGCAGGAGAGGAAAGCGGAAUUCCUAGUGUAGCGGUGAAAUGCGUAGAUAUUUGGAGGAACACCAGUGGCGAAGGCGGCUUUCUGGUCAGUAACUGACGCUGAGGCGCGAAAGCGUGGGGAGCAAACAGGAUUAGAUACCC
rnacentral:rRNA from 1 species